AUGUGCAGCUGCUUUGUGUUGAUGCAACUUCCUUGGGAAGCAAAAAAUCAACAGGAAAAUUCAGGCUUUUUUUCCCACUGAGUCAUGCUGUUGCAGCUAUGCCAGAAGACAGAGCUUUCUGUGUUGGUAGUGUCAGCCUUUGUGUCACAGCUUGCAAACCUCCCUGCAUGCUGCAGCUCCGACGGCAGCAAAUCAGCUUCACGCUCUUCUGGCUGAAGGCUUUUGGGAAGGGUAAGAGCAAAGGGUGGGGAAAAAAACCUGCUUCCUUGACAGGGGCAGUCUGAAAGGCUGGCUGUGGAGCAACCACUUGCGCAAUGUUAUUGCACUCUGCCACAGUGGCAAGGCGAGGACAUUGCACAAGGAAAAUUAGGGGAAUCUGUGCUUCUGCUUUUCAGCUGGGUCUGCAGAUUUGGGCAUUCAGCUACUGCCAGUGUAGGCCUGACAAGGAAUAUGAUGGAGUUAACACUGCCUAUUUCACAUUAUAAUAUUCCUUUUUUUUCUUCUUUUUUUGUAGUUCGAAGAUGAAUACAUGAAGCACUGUGAAGCAGAUUAAAGCACAGGCACCAGCGGCGCAUGCCAAGGCUCUGCUCCCAGACCUGUGAACCGAUGCCAAGCCUUCCACAUCUUGUUCCAGAGGCUAUGAGCACAGGUUUGACCAUCUCCAGGGGGUCAGGAGGGUGCUGCAGGCUCAGCCCUGCUGCUGCUGGCAACCAUGCGAACAGCUUAUGGGGUGAGCACCAGGAAGCAGCCCUAUGCAGGUUGCAAGACAUUUCUGCUAAUGCCGCAGGCUGGCCAACAGCCUCAGGGACUUCCUCCCUGUCCUGCUGCCUCAGCAUUUUCUUCCAGACUAAGCUAUGGGAGGGUGUUGCCUGCCCUUGGUGAGGCCCCCGUCCAUGCUCUUGCUCCUUGUUUCUCAGUCUCCCAGCAGAACAGCAGCACAAGAGCUGUUUAGAGCACGGAUGCUGCCAUGCAGGUGGAAAGGGAGAAUGUUGGGGACUUGCUGCAGAAUCAUCUCAGAUAUGAGGUGACUACGUGAACCAUACAAGAUCGGUAUAUGAAGAAAGAGAAAUUCAAUGUUCAGUACACAAGGCCUACAGCAAAAU